AAAUUACACUUCUAAAUUCAGCUAUAAAAUGGUUUUCAAGUGCUGCGCCUAAUACUAUAAGGCGAACAACGUUAAAACAAAACCAUACUAUAUCUUUUGAGUAAAAAGAGCAGUAAGUAAAAAUGGCCUCAUCCAAGAUUGAGAAAAAUACCACCAAAGCCCCUAAUUCCUCAAUAAAAGCCCCUAAUACCUCAAUGAAAGCUCCUGCCUCCAAAUCAGGUCCUAAGAAGGUCGAGGUUGUCAAACCUCGAGAGACUAAGAAGAAGGCAUCAAGCACGGGAAACAAGUCUGCAGCCAAGAAUUAAGUAGGAGAAAAGGAGUCCAUACAUUAAUAUUACGUUUGGAGAUGCUACACUACUCUAGUGGUUCUCUUAAUGUUUUAUCGAUGUUUGUAGUACUUGGUUUUAAAUUUUAAAUCCAUGUAUCUCUGUUAGGCUUUGCCUAUAAUAAAAUAAAAACUACAUAUGUGAUCUAAAAUCAUAAA